rnacentral:rRNA from 1 species
CACGUAGGGUGCGAGCGUUGUCCGGAAUUAUUGGGCGUAAAGAGCUCGUAGGCGGUGUGUCGCGUCGGCCGUGAAAACUUGGGGCUUAACUCUGAGCGUGCGGUCGAUACGGGCAUCACUUGAGUUCGGCAGGGGAGACUGGAAUUCCUGGUGUAGCGGUGAAAUGCGCAGAUAUCAGGAGGAACACCGGUGGCGAAGGCGGGUCUCUGGGCCGAUACUGACGCUGAGGAGCGAAAGUGUGGGGAGCGAACAGG